UCUGGUCCCCUUGGGGCCCGAGUUGUAAUCUGUAGAGGAUGCUUUUGGCGACGCGCCUUCCGAGUCCCCUGGAACGGGGCGCCAGAGAGGGUGAGAGCCCCGUACGGUCGGACGCCGAACCUCUGUAAAGCUCCUUCGACGAGUCGAGUAGUUUGGGAAUGCUGCUCAAAAUGGGAGGUAAAUUUCUUCUAAAGCUAAAUACCGGCCAGAGACCGAUAGCGCACAAGUAGAGUGAUCGAAAGAUGAAAAGCACUUUGAAAAGAGGGUUAAAUAGCACGUGAAAUUGCUGAAAGGGAAGCGCUUGUGACCAGACUUGCGCCCGGUUGAUCAUCCAGCGUUCUCGCUGGUGCACUCUGCCGGGCCCAGGCCAGCAUCGGCUCUCCCAGGGGGAUAAAGGUCGCGGGAACGUAGCUCUCUCCGGGGAGUGUUAUAGCCCGUGGCGGAAUGCCCUUAGGGGGGGCCGAGGCCCGCGUUCGCAAGGAUGCUGGCGUAAUGGUCAUCAGCGACCCGUCUU
rnacentral:rRNA from 1 species